UCGUGGCACAAGGGAAUGCAUGACACCCACUGUCCCUCCAGAGGAGCAAAAUUCAGACAGCGAGAACAAGUUUGCAAGUUAAAUUCAGCCGGUUUGUGGCUGUUGCCCCUCUAAAUGGGGUGAGAGAGAAGUCAUCAAAUCGACACCAGCGAAGCAGUCUGGUCUCAUCUGACUGAAUGCGCUGAGUCCCCUCCUGAUCUGACAGUUGCUCUGAGCUCCAGGAGGGGAAGAACAAACCCUGUGGCCUGGCAGGAAAGGUGCAAAGCAGCUGCCUCGUUACACCCCCGCUCCUGCAUACAGGGACCCAGCUGCCUCGUUACACCCCUGGUCCUGGAUACAGGGACCCAGCUGCCUCGUUACACCCCUGGUCCUGGAUACAGGGACCCUGACACCCUGGAGAUGAGCCAAUAAACUCAACUCAUCUAGUCUUUGUUGCUUGUGUUAAAAAUAUCUCAGC